GGCUUUGCUUCCUCUGGCAGAGGGGUGAGGGAGGUGUUUGGCUAUUUCAGUAGCAAUAUCCUGUGCCGCCACAGAAUCUAUUUCUCUGGAAUGUUUGAAGCAGGGUUGUGGCAGCAAUGGAGGCUUCCUGAUUGAGACAGCAUGGUAGCCUUUGCUCCAGACUCAACAGCUGUGGCUGCCAUCUCUGACUCAGAAGGACUUUCCGAUGCCCAGGGAGUGGUAGCUACCUGAAGUCCCAGACCUGCUGCAGGGCUCUGAACACACAGCCUAGAGGUUUCUCUACAUCUCCUCAUGUUUUCUACAGGACGGCCUGUGAACAUUUUUUUUUGACUGAUGAGUGAGGAGGUGAAUGAAGUUCACUAUGCUGGGGGUCCUGGGGUCCAUAUGAAGCAGGUUGAGCAAGCCAUGGAGAGCAAGCCAGGAAGCAGCACUCCUCCGCGGAUGGCGUCUGCAUCAGUUCCUGCCUCCAGGUUCCUGCCCUAUCUGAGUUCCUGUCCUGACUUCCCUCAGUGAUGGACAGUGACCUGGUAAAGGAUGAGCUGAAAUAAACCUGUUCCU